ACCCCUAGACGUGAAUGUGCAAAAAAGGAGGGCUAAGGGCUCAGUGGUAGGGGUGAAGUGUGAAAAGGGAUUGGGCCACAGACCAUAGACCACCAGACUGGAAGUGUUUAUCAGGUCCCCCUAAGACUUUUACCCCCAAAAACAGGUAACUCGAUUUCAGGCCCCCCACCUCCCCUUUAGUUAUCUGAGGACCCUUCGGUUGCUGUAAAAGAGGAAGCUGGAUGCGCUGCCUUUCCUAAAGCAACAGGGCCAGAGAGAACCACAGAUCAACAAAGAGAGGAGAAAAUCAAGCCGCUUCAGAUCUGAAAACAU